rnacentral:rRNA from 1 species
UAAGACGAACCGUGCGAACGUUGUUCGGAAUCACUGGGCUUAAAGGGCGCGUAGGCGGGCGGACACGUCCGGGGUGAAAUCGUUCGGCUUAACCGGACCAGGGCCUCGGAUACGGGCCGCCUCGAGGGGGGUAGGGGCACGCGGAACUGCGGGUGGAGCGGUGAAAUGCGUUGAUAUCCGCAGGAACGCCGGUGGCGAAAGCGGCGUGCUGGAUCCCCACUGACGCUGAGGCGCGAAAGCCAGGGGAGCGAACGGGAUUAGAUACCCCGGUAGUCCUGGCCCUAAACGAUGGGUACUGGGUAGCGGACCAGGCAUGGGUUCGCUGCCGGAGCAAAAGUGUUAAGUACCCCGCCUGGGGAGUAUGGCCGCAAGGCUG